rnacentral:rRNA from 1 species
GUGGGACUACCCGCUGAACUUAAGCAUAUCAAUAAGCGGAGGAAAAA